UACAGAGGGUGCAAACGUUGCUCGGAAUCAUUGGGCGUAAAGCGCACGUAGGCGGUCCAGUAAGUGGGGUGUGAAAGCCCUCGGCUUAACCGAGGAAGUGCUUUCGAAACUACUGGACUUGAGUACUGAAGAGGGUCGCGGAAUUCCCGGUGUAGAGGUGAAAUUCGUAGAUAUCGGGAGGAACACCAGUGGCGAAGGCGGCUACCUGGGCAGAUACUGACGCUGAGGUGCGAAAGCGUGGGGAGCAAACAGG
rnacentral:rRNA from 1 species